rnacentral:rRNA from 1 species
CCUACGGGUGGCAGCAGUGGGGAAUAUUGCACAAUGGGGGAAACCCUGAUGCAGCGACGCCGCGUGAGUGAAGAAGUAUUUCGGUACGUAAAGCUCUAUCAGCAGGGAAGAAAAUGACGGUACCUGACUAAGAAGCCCCGGCUAACUCCGUGCCAGCAGCCGCGGUAAGACGUAGGGGGCAAGCGUUAUCCGGAUUUACUGGGUGUAAAGAGUUCGUAGGCGGUAUGUUAAGUCUGGUGUUAAAUGCCGCAGCUCAACUUCUGUUCGGCACUGGAUACUGGCAAACUAGAGUGCGGUAGAGGUAAGGGGAAUUCCUGGUGUAGCGGUGAAAUGCUUAGAUAUCAGGAGGAACAUCGGUGGCGUAGGCGCUUUACUGGGCCGUAAUUGACGCUGAGGAACGAAAGCCAGGGUAGCAAAUAGGAUUAGAUACCCGUGUAGUC